rnacentral:rRNA from 1 species
AUAUGCCUACAACAUAGCGUUAAUGCACCAAAUCUCAUUAGAACUCUGCAAUUAAGCGUGCUCAGGCUAGAGUAGUACUGGGAUGGGUGACCGCCCGGGAAGUCCUAAUGCUUUACAUGCU